rnacentral:rRNA from 1 species
CUACGGGUCGCAGCAGUGGGGAAUAUUGCACAAUGGAGGAAAUUCUGAUGCAGCAACGCCGCGUGGAGGAUGACACUUUUCGGAGCGUAAACUCCUUUUAUAUAGGAAGAAGAUGACGGUACUAUAUGAAUAAGCGCCGGCUAACUCCGUGCCAGCAGCCGCGGUAAUACGGAGGGCGCAAGCGUUACUCGGAAUCACUGGGCGUAAAGAGCGUGUAGGCGGAUUAAAAAGUCAGAAGUGAAAUCCUAUAGCUUAACUAUAGAACUGCUUCUGAAACUCUUAAUCUAGAAUAUGGGAGAGGUAGAUGGAAUUUCUGGUGUAGGGGUAAUAUCCGUAGAGAUCACAAGGAAUACCGAUUGCGAAGGCGAUCUACUAGAACAUUAUUGACGCUGAGACGCGAAAGCGUGGGGAGCAAACAGGAUUAGAUACCCCCGUAGUC